AACCUAGCACACCUGCGGUGUGUACCUGCGGAGGGAUCAUUACAUGAUUUAACAGGGAGUGGAGGCUUCGGCCAAAGCUCUGUCUGAACCCAUGCCUUUUGCGUACUUCUUGUUUCCUCGGUGGGCUUGCCCGCCGAUAGGACAACCUUAAACUCUUUGCAAUUGCAAUCAGCGUCUGAAAAACUAUAAUAGUUACAACUUUUAGCAACGGAUCU
rnacentral:misc_RNA from 1 species